UCGGGAAUAUUGGUCAAUGGGCGCAAGCCUGAACCAGCCAUGCCGCGUGCAGGAUGAAGGCCCUCAGGGUUGUAAACUGCUUUUGUAUGGGAAUAAAAAAGUCCUUGCGAGGACUCUUGAAGGUACCAUAAGAAUAAGCACCGGCUAACUCCGUGCCAGCAGCCGCGGUAAUACGGAGGGUGCAAGCGUUAUCCGGACUUACUGGGCGUAAAGCGCACGCAGGUGGUAACGCAAGUGGGGUGUGAAAGCCGCCAGCUCAACUGGCGGAGGCCAUCCCAAACUGCGUCACUUGAGGCCUGUAGAGGUAUGUGGAAUUGCCGGUGUAGUGGUGAAAUGCGUAGAGAUCGGCAGGAACACCCAGGGGGAAACCAGCAUACUGGACAGGUCCUGACACUCAGGUGCGACAGCGUGGGGAGCGAACCGGAUUAGAUACCCGUGUAGUCC
rnacentral:rRNA from 1 species